rnacentral:lncRNA from 1 species
GCCAAUCAGGACCGAUGCUCACAGUGACAACACUCACGCUGAGGAUAUUGUGGGUUAGAAGAGGAGCAUGGGUAAAAUAGAGGAGAGCAGGAGAAGUAAGAGAUGAGAUGAGAGGAGAGGGGAGAGGAGGAGGAGGAGGAGGAAGAGGAGAGGAGGAGGAGGAGGAGGAGGAGAGGAAUGAGAGGAGUACAAGGAAGCGGAAAACGGACGCACGUCACGAGCUGAUGGUGACAAACCGGUGCAAUCUCACAUUAACACCUCAACAAUCAAAGAUCUUUGAGUUGAUCAAAUUAUUGUGCACUCUAGCCUACAGUUUGUUUAGAGGAUUUACAGUUUGUUUAGAGGUUUACAGUUUGUUUAGAGGAUUACAGUUUGUUUAGAGGAUUUACAGUUUGUUUAGAGGAUUACAGUUUGUUUAGAGGAUUUACAGUUUGUUUAGAGGUUUACAGUUUGUUUACAGUUUGUUUAGAGGAUUACAGUUUGUUUAGAGGUUUACAGUUUGUUUAGAGGUUUACAGUUUGUUUACAGUUUGUUUAGAGGUUUACAGUCUGUUUAGAGGGUUUACAGUUUGUUUAGAGGGUUACAGUUUGUUUAGAGGUUUACAGUUUGACAGCGCCACUUUUUCUACAGACAAACAUUAGUCACAGGAUUGCAAAGGGAAGGUCAGAUGCAGAUAAGGGGUCUAUGAGAGGGGGUCUAUGAGAGGGGGUCUAUGAGAGGGGGUCUAUGAGAGGGAGCGGGGGGCAGGACAUGGGUGGGGCUGAUAGAGCACACAGAAGUAAGCAGCCAAAGCAAGCAGCCAAUCAUUACUCUGGGCCACAGGAAACGGAGCGGACAGGGUUGUCGUGACAACGGGAGGUCAUACCGUAUCCAGUACAUGGCCGGGUGCUGGUAGAAGUCCAACGACCCAGAGCGCUGCAAACAGAAGCUGUGCUCCAACUGGACAACAGGACACAGAAACCAGG